GUCAUUAAUAACUUGGUACGUAGGUACCGAGAAAGAGAAUAUUAAUUUUACAUUAUAGGUUUUUACUUUGGUUUAACUUUUGGUUAUUUUUGUCGCGUCGUCGCCGUCCGACAACGACAAUUACGACGAAAACGAGUCCGACGACGAUAACGACGUAACAUAAUAAUAUAUGAUUAUAUUAGUAGGUACGCCGACUGUUAUUGACAUUAUAGCACGGUAUAGAACUAUAGAAGAUAACCGUGAUUAUAGUAGGCAUUCUGCUUAAUUCGCUACAUGAACACGGAAACACUUAACAAGACAGUAAGGACGUAAGAUCACAAUUAUGACUUCUAAAAAGAAACCCAAUAUUCAGUCUUUUUUCAAACCUCAAAAAGUUGACAAUAUACAAAAUAACACAGAUUAUCAGUAGUUUCAGCAUCAGACACUGAUAUCCCUACGUCGUCCACGUCCCAUAUAAAUAGACACGAUAUUUUCAAUUACGUCAAAAGAGUAUUGACUCAAAAUGAAAUACAUGAUAUACUAAAUGCAAUUUGGAUUCCCGAUGUAAAUUAUAAUUUUCCUGUGAAAAUAUUUUGGUCCCAUCGAAGAUAUUAUAAUUCUUUCAAAUAAAUAUAUUGAAGAUUUGCAGAAUGAAGGAUCUCAAAAUCAAAUUAUUGAAGCAGAAUACAAAUUAUGGCAGAGAAAACUCAUGCAAACAACAGAGAAACCAUAUAAUGCUCUAGAGGCUAUGGCUAUGUGUAACCAGUCAAUUUAUCCAAACAUAUUUAAACUUCUUCAAAUCUUAGUCACGCUACCUGUUUCCUCUGCCACAAAUGAAAGAACAUUUUCAAAUUUAAAAAGAAUAAAAACGUAUCUAAGGAAUUCCAUGUCAGAGGGAAGAUUGAACGGUUUAGCGAUGUUAUCAAUAAAUAAAAACUACUUAAUAGAACCGGAAGAAGUUAUUGAAGAACUAGCCAGACAAAAAAGACGUUUACCUUUUUUAUUAUAAAAAACUAUUAAUUUGUAUUAAUAAAUCAUAAUAGUAGUGAAAUAUACAUAAUAUAAU